rnacentral:rRNA from 1 species
GAUGAACGCUGGCGGCGUGCCUAAUACAUGCAAGUCGAACGACAGCACAGUAAGAUCUUGCCCCUACGGUUGGCGAGGGGCGGACGAGUGAGAAAUAGAUCAGAUACCUCUUUUACUUGGGUAAUAUCGGGAAAAAGGUGCCAAUACUGCAUCAUACUAUGUACCGGAUAGAUCAAGAGAUCUUCGCACUCUUCGCGUCUGUUUUAGCCGGUGCCGCAUUAGCUAGUUGGCUAGGUAAGGGCCCACCAAGGCAACGAUGCGUAGCUGGCCUGAGAGGAUGAUCGGCCACACUGGAACUGAGACACGGUCCAGACUCCUACGGGAGGCAGCAGUAGGGAAUCUUCGGCAAUGGGCGAAAGCCUGACCCAGCCAUGCCGCGUGAGUGAAGAAGGUCUUCGGAUUGUAAAACCCUUUUAUUAGGAAAGAAAAGAUGUGGGUGUAUCCGCGGACGUCUUGACGGUACCUAAACAGAAAGCCACGGCUAACUUCGUG